rnacentral:rRNA from 1 species
GCGGUCCACCAUUGGCUGGCACUGCUCUGGCUGGGGUUCACCUUCUGGUGAGCCGGCAUGCCCUUCGUUGGGUGUGGCGGGGAACCAGGACUUUUACUUUGAAAAAAUUAGAGUGUUUAAAGCAGGCCUAUGCUUGAAUACAUUAGCAUGGAAUAAUAGAAUAGGACCUCGGUUCUAUUUUGUUGGUUUCUAGGACCGAAGUAAUGAUUAAUAGGGAUAGUUGGGGGCAUUAGUAUUUAGUAGCUAGAGGUGAAAUUCUCGGAUUUAUGAAAGACUAACUUCUGCGAAAGCAUUUGCCAAGGAUGUUUUCAUUAAUCAAGAACGAAAGUUAGGGGAUCGAAGACGAUCAGAUACCGUCGUAGUCUUAACCAUAAACUAUGCCGACUAGGGAUCAGACGAUGUUAAUUUACUGACUCGUUUGGCACCUUAUGAGAAAUCAAAGUUUUUGGGUUCCGGGGGGAGUAUGGUCGCAAGGCUGAAACUUAAAGGAAUUGACGGAAGGGCACCACCAGGAGUGGAGCCUGCGGCUUAAUUUGACUCAACACGGGGAAACUCACCAGGUCCAGACAUAGUAAGGAUUGACAGAUUGAGAGCUCUUUCUUGAUUCUAUGGGUGGUGGUGCAUGGCCGUUCUUAGUUGGUGGAGUGAUUUGUCUGCUUAAUUGCGUUAACGAACGAGACCUUAACCUGCUAAAUAGUUAUGCCAACGCUCGUUGGUAGUCAACUUCUUAGAGGGACUGUCGGCGAUUAGCCGACGGAAGUUUUAGGCAAUAACAGGUCUGUUAUGCCCUUAGAUGUCCUGGGCCGCACGCGCGCUACACUGAUGAAGUCAACGAGUCUAUAA